rnacentral:tRNA from 1 species
GCUAUCGUAGCUUAAACAAAGCAUAGCACUGAAGAUGCUAAGAUGGGCUUUAACAAGCCUCGAGGGCA